rnacentral:rRNA from 1 species
UGAGGAAUAUUGGUCAAUGGACGAGAGUCUGAACCAGCCAAGUAGCGUGAAGGAUGACUGCCAUAUGGGUUGUAAACUUCUGUUAUACGGGAAUAAAGUGAGGCACGUGUGCCUUUUUGUAUGUACCGUAUGAAUAAGGAACGGCUAACUCCGUGCCAGCAGCCGCGGUAAUACGGAGGAUCCGAGCGUUAUCCGGAUUUAUUGGGUUUAAAGGGAGCGUAGGCGGACGCUUAAGUCAGUUGUGAAAGUUUGCGGCUCAACCGUAAAAUUGCAGUUGAUACUGGGUGUCUGGAGUACAGUAGAGGCAGGCGGAAUUCGUGGUGUAGCGGUGAAAUGCUUAGAUAUCACGAAGAACUCCGAUUGCGAAGGCAGCCUGCUGGACUGUAACUGACGCUGAUGCUCGAAAGUGUGGGUAUCAAACAGG